GACCCAGGAUCAACACUCCUACGGGAGGCAGCAGUGGGGAAUAUUGCACAAUGGGCGCAAGCCUGAUGCAGCCAUGCCGCGUGUGUGAAGAAGGCCUUAGGGUUGUAAAGCACUUUCAGCGAGGAGGAAGGGUUCAGUGUUAAUAGUACUGUUCAUUGACGUUACUCGCAGAAGAAGCACCGGCUAACUCCGUGCCAGCAGCCGCGGUAAUACGGAGGGUGCAAGCGUUAAUCGGAAUUACUGGGCGUAAAGCGCACGCAGGCGGUUUGUUAAGUCAGAUGUGAAAUCCCCGCGCUUAACGUGGGAACUGCAUUUGAAACUGGCAAGCUAGAGUCUUGUAGAGGGGGGUAGAAUUCCAGGUGUAGCGGUGAAAUGCGUAGAGAUCUGGAGGAAUACCGGUGGCGAAGGCGG
rnacentral:rRNA from 1 species